rnacentral:rRNA from 1 species
GGGACGAUGGGGGAAAGCUUACACAUGCAAGUCGAGCGGUAGCACAAGGGGAGCUUGCUCCCUGGGUGACGAGCGGCGGACGGGUGAGUAAUGUCUGGGAAACUGCCUGAUGGAGGGGGAUAACUACUGGAAACGGUAGCUAAUACCGCAUAACGUCGCAAGACCAAAGAGGGGGACCUUCGGGCCUCUUGCCAUCAGAUGUGCCCAGAUGGGAUUAGCUAGUAGGUGGGGUAAUGGCUCACCUAGGCGACGAUCCCUAGCUGGUCUGAGAGGAUGACCAGCCACACUGGAACUGAGACACGGUCCAGACUCCUACGGGAGGCAGCAGUGGGGAAUAUUGCACAAUGGGCGCAAGCCUGAUGCAGCCAUGCCGCGUGUGUGAAGAAGGCCUUCGGGUUGUAAAGCACUUUCAGCGAGGAGGAAGGUGGUGAACUUAAUACGUUCAUCAAUUGACGUUACUCGCAGAAGAAGCACCGGCUAACUCUGUGCCAGCAGCCGCU